ACGGGUGAGUAACGCGUAAGAACCUAUCCCUAGGCGGGGGACAACCACUGGAAACGGUGGCUAAUACCCCAUGUGCUGAGGAGUAAAAGGAGGAAUCCACCUGGGGAGGGGCUUGCGUCUGAUUAGCUAGUUGGUGAGGCAAUGGCUUACCAAGGCGACGAUCAGUAGCUGGUCUGAGAGGAUGAUCAGCCACACUGGGACUGAGACACGGCCCAGACUCCUACGGGAGGCAGCAGUGGGGAAUUUUCCGCAAUGGGCGCAAGCCUGACGGAGCAAUGCCGCGUGGAGGAAGAAGGCUCACGGGUCGUAAACUCCUUUUCUCAGAGAAGAAGACAUGACGGUAUCUGAGGAAUAAGCAUCGGCUAACUCUGUG
rnacentral:rRNA from 1 species